rnacentral:tRNA from 1 species
UAUUUUUGUAGUGUAUUGCUAACAUAGGAUAUUUUCGUUAUCCAGAAAAAAUUUUUAUUUUCAAAAUUAU